rnacentral:rRNA from 1 species
UAGGGAAUCUUCCACAAUGGACGAAAGUCUGAUGGAGCAACGCCGCGUGAGUGAAGAAGGUUUUCGGAUCGUAAAGCUCUGUUGUUGGUGAAGAAGGAUAGAGGCAGUAACUGGUCUUUAUUUGACGGUAAUCAACCAGAAAGUCACGGCUAACUACGUGCCAGCAGCCGCGGUAAUACGUAGGUGGCAAGCGUUGUCCGGAUUUAUUGGGCGUAAAGCGAGCGCAGGCGGAAUGAUAAGUCUGAUGUGAAAGCCCACGGCUCAACCGUGGAACUGCAUCGGAAACUGUCAUUCUUGAGUGCAGAAGAGGAGAGUGGAACUCCAUGUGUAGCGGUGGAAUGCGUAGAUAUAUGGAAGAACACCAGUGGCGAAGGCGGCUCUCUGGUCUGCAACUGACGCUGAGGCUCGAAAGCAUGGGUAGCGAACAGGAUUAGAUACCCUGGUAG